GACGAACGCUGGCUGCGUGCUUAACACAUGCAAGUCGAACACUGAAACCCUGGUGCUUGCACCGGGGUGGAUGAGUGGCGAACGGGAGAGUAACACGUGAGUAACCUGCCCCCGACUUCGGGAUAAGCCCGGGAAACUGGGUCUAAUACCGGAUAUGAGCGCCCCUCGCAUGAGGGAUGCUGGAAAGUCUUUUCGGUUGGGGAUGGGCUCGCGGCCUAUCAGUUUGUUGGUGAGGUAAUGGCUCACCAAGACGACGACGGGUAGCCGGCCUGAGAGGGCGACCGGCCACACUGGGACUGAGACACGGCCCAGACUCCUACGGGAGGCAGCAGUGGGGAAUAUUGCACAAUGGGGGAAACCCUGAUGCAGCGACGCAGCGUGCGGGAUGACGGCCUUCGGGUUGUAAACCGCUUUCAGCAGGGAAGAAGCCCCUUGGGGUGACGGUACCUGCAGAAGAAGUACCGGCUAACUACGUGCCAGCAGCCGCAGUAA
rnacentral:rRNA from 1 species